rnacentral:sRNA from 1 species
GCGUUCAUGUUUGUUUUGCUAGGAACACCAGUCUAAAUUUUGCCAAUAAAAUAAUUUACAUUCAACUACAAUGAUAUGCACCAGAGAAGAAUAAGAAAAACGUACCAAAUUAUAAUAAGGGUGUGUUGACAAAAUAGUCACUUUUUCAAACUUAAUUAGGAAAGUAGUCACUUUACUAUUCAUAAUUUGCAAAAUAGUCACUUUUCACUGUUUGAUUCGUACACUUGGAUUGUACAUCACUUUUCUUAUACAAAUGUAAAGUGUACGCUGUGUAUUUUUAUAUAUAUUUGUACAUUAAAAGUGGUGUACAAUCUAAGUGUACGUAUCAAACAGUGAAAAGUAUCAAACAGUGAAAAGUGACUAUUUUGCAAAUUAUGAAUAGUAAAGUGACUACUUUUCCAAUGAAGUUUAAAAAAGUGACUAGUUUGCAAAUUAACCCUUAUAAUAAACGUACCAAAUACAAACAUAGUACUCCUUAAUAUAUACCAUCAGAUCUGGAGAAGGAAGAAUAAUAUUAUUCGACUUUUGUAAACUUUUACAAAUUUGAGUAUCAAUCAACUUCAUGAUUAGAAUCCAAGUUGACACUAAAGAGUUAAU